rnacentral:rRNA from 1 species
AGGGAGAAGGUGAGUCAUACGCCCCUCCCACAAUUACAGGCCAAAAGGCCUUAAUACAUAUAUAUAUAUAUAUAUAUAUAUAUAUAUAUAUAUAUAUAUAUAUAUAUAUAUAUAUAUAUAUAUAUAUAUAUAUAUAUAUAUAAUAUUUUAUAUUUUUUAUUGGGGUAGCCCCCAAAAUAUUGGGACAUAUUAAAAAACGACAACUCUGUUCCGUGACGGCGACUUUGCAUUCGGAUGUCAUCCAUAUCAACUUUCGAUGCCAGUUUCUGCGCCUACCAUGGUGACCACAGGUAACAGGGAAUCAGGGUUCCAUUCCGUACAGGGACCCUGAGAAACAGCUACCACAUGCAAGGAAGGCAGCAGGCGCGCAAAUGACCCACUCCCGACGCGGGAAGGUAGUGACGACAAAUAACAAUACAGGACUCUUUAGAGGCCCUGUAAUUGUAAUGAGUCCACUUGAAAUCCUUUAACUCUGAUCAAUUGGAGGGAAGUCUGGUGCAGAGCCACUGACCCGUGCGUGCUGCAGCUGAAACUCCACU